CACCCGCUUUCCCCACCGGAGUCCAAUCCAUUCCCCUCACCUUCCGGAGGGGCCUCGCACCGGACUGCCGCGGGUGCCGUAGGCUGCGAGAAAGAUGAGACGGCCAAAGACGAGAAGGCCAAAGAUUGCCAGCGACUAGUACAAAACAAGGAAAGAGUUUGAAAUAGGUGCUGAACGUGUGGAGCUAUCCAUGGUUCUGAAUCCGAAUCAGCCGUUGGCAACUGUUCUCUGCCUACAACCAGCCGCAGACAAUAGAACUACAAACUCAGGCAAGUGGCCCUAAUGUAUCCACAUGCACCACUCUCUUCACCAAAUGCCCAAAGAAAUAGAGUGUUCUAAAACACAUUUCUUCUCUACUUAGCGUCUUAACUAAACCCAAGUUCACCUUCCUCCCAAAAUGCAUCAAGGACUCCAGAAAAAAAUGAAGAAACUGCAUAUUGCGUAGAUUGUAAUUAAAGUUUCACCUAUAAAGUUGUAUUUUAAUUAAGAUUUCACGGCACAAUAAUAUAACAAUAAGUUAUAUAAAGGUAAUAUAGCUAAACUUUUUAAAAAUUACACAUAAAUUUAGUGAAUGAAUACUGUUUUAAAAUAAUAGGUAUUUCCAAAUACAGCUGGAAACACAAAGUUUAUCUGUCACAUGACAAGAUAUAUUGACAUGCAGAAGGUAACUGUGCAUAAUGUCUCUAAUUAUAAGUCUGAAACUAACUUUCAUAGGAUAUUGAUUCUGGAAACCCUUGAAUUCCACUUUCCUUCUUCAAGAGAAAAAGUGGCUUUCUGCUCCCUGAAGUAUUCUCUCUUUCUCUGCAACUUUUAGAGUGGUCUCUGUUUGUUUGGGUUGGUUAACUAAAUACGUGAUGGCUAAAAUCCCAUUGUCUUUGUUACAUAUGUGUGAGCUCUGUGGGCUUUACACUUUUCCUAAUCUCAUUUAACUCCAAAAUUAGUUCUAUUAAGGAUUCAGUGUAAAAUCACAGAACAUUUUAUAACCUAUGUAUUGUAAUUGAUUGAGCAGAAGAUUAAAGGCAUCCUGUUUCUAAAUUACCCCAGUAAUCGUGUUCAUACAUUAUGCAUUGGAACAGUGGAGAAAGUACAUUAAUCUAUAUUCAGCCAAUAGAAUAAAAGCAGUGGAUGGUAAUCAUGGCUGCUUGUUGGCUGGAAAAUUAUCCUCCCCCACUCCACUCUCUAUAAAAGCUAACUUUAUAUUUUGUGUGGAGACCCACUUUCACAAGUUUUUAGUAUUUUUGGACCUUUUGGAAGUACAAAUAUUGAACCAAGCACACAAUUCAACUGUUGAAAUCCUAUCAUGUAUACAGCUUAACACUCAAUACAAUCUACUUAUAGGCAAGGUUGCAGGAUAGAUUGUAUGUUCUUAAAAUUACCUAAUUAUCAAUAUUACUUUAAAAUUAAGUCAUUUAGUAUUUACAUAUGUAAAAAUAUUUUGAAUGCCUACCAUAUAAUAACAAUUCAAUAAAUUUUACACACACAGCAUUUUCCAUAGAAGCUCACAGAAUUAAUGAAACUCUGCUUAAGAAACCUACAUUAGAAAUCAUUCAAGCAGCAUAUAUUAUUGCAACCAUCACUAUGGGAUAUUUAAGUGGCAUUCAUGUAUUGGUAUAGAAUAGAAACUUUUUAAUAUCAAAUUAAAUAUUGUGAUUUGGUUCACAUUUUUGAGAUGCUGCGGAAUAUAAGUCAAUGAAAUUAAUGUAAAGUUUUCCCAAUUCAGCAAAACUAGUUUAAUAAUCUGAUGACCACAGUGCACAUUUUUAUUUUUCUUAUUUAUUUAAUCUUUUUUUUUCUUUGGGACGGUGUCACCCA